AAUGAUUUUUAUAUCUUUUUUGGUGAUGUGCUCACCUGUUGCAAGCUUACUCCCAUGGACUUCAGUUUGGGAAAGAUUGUUCCUACAAAAGGGGAAAUUUGCCGUCACUUUUGGAGCUGCCUUUCUAAAUCAUGCAGAACAUUUUAAUAGAAUUCCACUUUUUUCUUUAUCUCUCCCUUCUUUUGGGGUAUACAUACAACUGGAAUCAUACACACACUUUGAUCAAGUCAGACUUUCGUGGCCAGGCUGUGGAUGGACGGAUGGUAAACAACAGGUUUCAGCUCAAUCCUGGCCAAGACUGAGUAGCUUUGGUUUGGAGGCCAUCUGGAAUUUACUACCCCUAGUUCUGGAUGGGGUGGCCCUCUGGCAGACAGAUCCAGUGCACUUUCUGGAAGUCCUUUUGGACUAAUGACUCCUGCUACAUGACCAGAUGACAAUUGUGCUGGGAAGAAAGAAAGCAACAAGAAGAAGUUAGACAAAUAUUCCAACCUCCAACAAAACUCCUACAAGCAGUUUCGGAUAACAUCCUAAUCCCAAAGCAAUUUGUCUUACCAUUUUGUUUCAUGUUGAGUUAUUAUUUAGUUACACUUUCAAAUCCACCAAAUUCACCAGCAUCAUGUGAGUAAAUCCAGCUACAUAAUUUCUUUAGGGACUAAGGACAAAAUCACUGGUCCAAAGAGUUGACUAGAGUACUAAGUACAGUUGCUUGCUCACCCAAUUCAUAUCCUAUCCAUCUGACCUUCUGAAAUAUUUCAGCAGAUAGGACCUCCAGCAGUUAAAAACUAGGUGAAAUUAACACGAACAGUCCAAAGCAUAUACACCUGGAUCAGAUGAUUACUUCCUAGAUUUUAUUUGUGACAUCAACCGCAGCUGACUUUUAUCUCAUGGAGAUGUCAGGCAGCAUGUAUAUUUCUAUUUCCCACCAGAGGUGGCAGGAAUAAGCAAGCCAGACAAUUGUCCAGGGCUUAC